rnacentral:lncRNA from 2 species
AUGGCGAACAUUGUCCUCAACCCAGGACGUUUCCUUGAAGCUGGACAGCAUGUCCAAGAUGGGAGCCCUAAUCGUCUGCCUAGGGAAGACAUCACAGUGCCUGAUCCACAAAAACAACAUGAAGCCUACAUGCUAGCGGAGAUUGAGCCCCAAGUUCAUGAAGAUGAAUGGGAUGUUCAUAGAUUGCAGAUUCGAAAUCAUCUACAUAAUGAACUAGUAAGAGUCCUCUUGAGGGCAUAUUUUGAUGAUGUUGAUUUGGUUCCAAGGAGGAUAGUUAUUAAACAGUUCCCUAAUCAGGGUGGACAGGGUGAAUCUUGGACCUUUGGUGUCUUUGUUCUUAACAAUGAGUUUGCUGACCUGCAACCUCAAGAUGAAGAUUUGCCACAUGUUGGUGCUCCACCUCCCCCACCUGACCCACCUCACCAUCAUGGCCCUGCCUGGGAUGAGAUUAAUCAUCAUCAUGGAGAUGAAGGUGCUUGGGGAAAUUGGGAGCAGCAGGCUAAGAAUCAACCUGGUUCCGAUCAUUCAGGGCUAAGUUCACAGGGUGCUAGUGCAAACUUACAGAUUGUUAUUGCUGCUAGCACUGAUAGUUCUCCUCUAUUUACUAUUUCUCCUGAGAUGCAAGGAAAGAUUGAUGAAUUUGUUCUUAGGAUGAAGCUGUUGAAAUCUCUUCGGAACAAGACACACAUACCUUUGCCUAUUCAAAAUGCGGCCCCUUUCACUCAACUUCUAUACCCCAAGAGGAAAGCUUUGUCUGUUUACUCUCAGUCAGUGGAGCCAGUGGUCAAAAGGGCCAAGUUGAAUGAAUCCUCUUCCUGGGCCAUGGAGAAAAGCCCAUCUAUAGAUGUAAUACCAAGCACAGAAGGCCCUAUCUUGUCCCCAAUUCCUCUGGCUAUUUUGCCUCCUUCAGGAGUUCACUUGGAUUCAGAUAAGUUUCUCUUGGCAGGCCCUGAGGUUUCUGUUGGCAGGAAUGAGCCAGUUUCUCCGGUUGCUUCAAGCUCUGAUGCUCUGAUUCUUCCUAAGGCCCCUGUUAAGAAAAGAGAU